rnacentral:rRNA from 1 species
AAAUUGAAGAGUUUGAUCAUGGCUCAGAUUGAACGCUGGCGGCAGGCCUAACACAUGCAAGUCGAGCGGUAGCACAGAGAGCUUGCUCUCGGGUGACGAGCGGCGGACGGGUGAGUAAUGUCUGGGAAACUGCCUGAUGGAGGGGGAUAACUACUGGAAACGGUAGCUAAUACCGCAUAACGUCGCAAGACCAAAGUGGGGACCUUCGGGCCUCAUGCCAUCAGAUGUGCCCAGAUGGGAUUAGCUAGUAGGUGGGGUAACGGCUCACCUAGGCGACGAUCCCUAGCUGGUCUGAGAGGAUGACCAGCCACACUGGAACUGAGACACGGUCCAGACUCCUACGGGAGGCAGCAGUGGGGAAUAUUGCACAAUGGGCGCAAGCCUGAUGCAGCCAUGCCGCGUGUGUGAAGAAGGCCUUCGGGUUGUAAAGCACUUUCAGCGGGGAGGAAGGCGUUAAGGUUAAUAACCUUGGCGAUUGACGUUACCCGCAGAAGAAGCACCGGCUAACUCCGUGCCAGCAGCCGCGGUAAUACGGAGGGUGCAAGCGUUAAUCGGAAUUACUGGGCGUAAAGCGCACGCAGGCGGUCUGUCAAGUCGGAUGUGAAAUCCCCGGGCUCAACCUGGGAACUGCAUUCGAAACUGGCAGGCUAGAGUCUUGUAGAGGGGGGUAGAAUUCCAGGUGUAGCGGUGAAAUGCGUAGAGAUCUGGAGGAAUACCGGUGGCGAAGGCGGCCCCCUGGACAAAGACUGACGCUCAGGUGCGAAAGCGUGGGGAGCAAACAGGAUUAGAUACCCUGGUAGUCCACGCCGUAAACGAUGUCGAUUUGGAGGUUGUGCCCUUGAGGCGUGGCUUCCGGAGCUAACGCGUUAAAUCGACCGCCUGGGGAGUACGGCCGCAAGGUUAAAACUCAAAUGAAUUGACGGGGGCCCGCACAAGCGGUGGAGCAUGUGGUUUAAUUCGAUGCAACGCGAAGAACCUUACCUGGUCUUGACAUCCACAGAACUUUCCAGAGAUGGAUUGGUGCCUUCGGGAACUGUGAGACAGGUGCUGCAUGGCUGUCGUCAGCUCGUGUUGUGAAAUGUUGGGUUAAGUCCCGCAACGAGCGCAACCCUUAUCCUUUGUUGCCAGCGGUCCGGCCGGGAACUCAAAGGAGACUGCCAGUGAUAAACUGGAGGAAGGUGGGGAUGACGUCAAGUCAUCAUGGCCCUUACGACCAGGGCUACACACGUGCUACAAUGGCAUAUACAAAGAGAAGCGACCUCGCGAGAGCAAGCGGACCUCAUAAAGUAUGUCGUAGUCCGGAUUGGAGUCUGCAACUCGACUCCAUGAAGUCGGAAUCGCUAGUAAUCGUAGAUCAGAAUGCUACGGUGAAUACGUUCCCGGGCCUUGUACACACCGCCCGUCACACCAUGGGAGUGGGUUGCAAAAGAAGUAGGUAGCUUAACCUUCGGGAGGGCGCUUACCACUUUGUGAUUCAUGACUGGGGUGAAGUCGUAACAAGGUAACCGUAGGGGAACCUGCGGUUGGAUCACCUCCUUACCUUAAAGAA